rnacentral:rRNA from 1 species
GUACAAUAAGCUAAAUAAGGGCGUAUGGCGGAUGCCUAGGCUUUCAGAGGCGAUGAA